GAUGAACGCUGGCGGCAUGCCUAACACAUGCAAGUUGAUCGGUAAGGCUCUUCGGAGUACACGAGAGGCGGACGGCUGAGUAACGCGUAGGAACACACCCUGCAGUGAGGGAUAAGACACCGAAAGGUGUUCUAAUACCGCAUACGGUCUUCGGAUUAAAGCAUUUAUGCGCUGAAGGAGUGGCCUGCGUCAUAUUAGAUAGUUGGUGAGGUAAUGGCUCACCAAGUCGAUGAUGUGUAGCUGGUCUGGGAGGAUGAUCAGCCAGACUGGAACUGAGACACGGUCCAGACUCCUACGGGAGGCAGCAGUGAGGAAUAUUUCAAAAUGAGCGAAAGCUUGAUGGAGCAAUGACGCGUGCAGGAUGAAGGCCCUCGGGUUGUAAACUGCUUCUAUAAGAGAAGAUUAUGACGGUAACUUAUGAAUAAGGGACGGCUAACUACGUG
rnacentral:rRNA from 1 species